rnacentral:rRNA from 1 species
AGCAGCGGUAAUAGCAACGUUGAAUGCGUCAUUCGAAGGAUUACCGAAGUUAAGUAACGUUGCGCGUGGUUGGUAUCCAGAUAGGUGAUCAUCUAGACAAUCACGUGCUGCUGACU